AAGACUGACCCAUUUGGUUACUUUCGCGGUCGCCCUCACUGAACCGACUUGAAUCUGAACUACGAUUCAGAUCUAGUCUUACCGAAAUCGGAUUUCUGGACAAAUGAACAGACCUUUCCUUACUUGACUUGCCAACCGGUAAAACCAGUAACCAAGUUCAUGCGUCAGUACCACGUCCAGGAUCUUAGAGAAGAGUCCCAUUAAGCGUCGGGCACUUUCCUCAUUAAAAAGCGCAAUCACAACUGUCGAAGCGAGUGCUCUACUAUCUCCGAGAAGAUAGGAUUAGGACAAAAUUCCCGGGUUUCCAUAAACUGUCACGCUUUCAAUUGGAAUUAGGCACGAAUUAGUCCUUACUCUUUCGAGUAAGUAAGCGCUACGCCCCCUCUUAAACUGGAUCAAAUAGGGGAUUACUAGAACUCCCGGAAACUAUGGUUUUCCUGCCUGCCCCAGCCUUUUUAGGUUCUUUUGCGGGAUAACCGUUCUUAGGGUAAUAAAACCUGCUAGUCUUAGUGCUACAGAAUCCCCUGCUCGUGGAAGGUUUGAAGGAAGAAUCCGCAGAAGGGCUUAGACGAGACCUAGCAUCUCUCAGCUCAGAUUCGGCAUAUCCGGUCUUAGCAGCAAAUCCUUCCUCUGAAGAUGGACAGCUUGAAGAGCGAAGCGAGCCGCGCUAGCCUAUUACGUUUUUCAGCAGCAAGCUACGGUCUAACGACCCCC
rnacentral:lncRNA from 1 species